rnacentral:lncRNA from 1 species
AAAAUAUAUAUAUAUAUAUAUUUUUUUUUAAAUGGGGAUCAAACAAGAGCCAAGGGUCGUUUUAGCUUAAAUCUUUCAAAUAAUAAACCAAAGAGAGUGGCAGCUAUUUCUUUCGGUAACAACUUAAAUUUACAAAAUUCUUGGAUUCUUCUCUUAUAUAAUCUCCCCUACCAAUCCAUGCCUUCACGAAAUAAGAAAAUAUUGAGUGAAUAAUUUAUAACCAGAGAUUGUAUCGCCUGUGGCCGAGCCGAGCAGUGCUGCCUUCCCCCUCCUACAUCUCUUAAUCAUCCAAGUCUUGUUUGGCAGUUCAAUUGAAACAAAAAAGUGAUUAUAUUUGAAACUGAAACACAUAAUUAUGGAAUAACUGAACCAUGAGAAUAAUUCAUAUAUAAAUUCAGCAAUAAAUCUAUCUAUAAGGCAAGAAAUGGCUCUGAGUUCUGAUCGCAGAUCUACCUAUCUUCGUCUCGUCUCGUCUGUUAAUUUUCGGAGAAGUUGGGGGGAAUGAAGCCUGGUCCGAGAUCAUUCGCAGGAUCUCUGAAUAUCAUCGAAUGGUCUCGAACCAGACAACAUUCCCCUCAACAAUUCAUGUGUACAUAUGUAUCAAAGAACAAAUCUAUCGAGAGAGAGAGAGAGGGAGAGAGAGGGGAUGGAUUGUUUGAUUUCAAC